AUGAGGUAUCACGGGAAUCCGUCGAUGUAAACAAAUCUUAAAAACUUAGACACGACACUCGGAAAAAUGAUAAAAUGCUACACAAUGCACAUAAAAUUAAGUUCCGUGUCAUCGCACGAUUACGCAACAUUCAGAAAGGUAUAAAUGCAUUGCAAACUGCCAUUCUUACAUAGUUGAGCGUGACGUUCCAAAAUGAAAAAGUACAAGUUAUUAUUUAUACUUUGUUUUAUUUUACUGUUAAUAGGUGACUCACUGGUGAAAGCAGUGCCAAGUAGCACAGGGGGUAGGCCGAUUAUCAGUGGUAGUAUGUUUGGAAAAUAGAGCCCUGAUUCGAUGUAUUUCAAACACACAAAGAUACAAAUUUUUAUAAAUCGUUCCUAUAGUUUCAUCUACCGUUUUUCUUUUUGAUCAUGUUCAUGUGUAUUCAAUUAAGUAAUCAUACAAUAAUAUUGCUCCUUUAUUAGUGGACGCCAAUUAAGUUUAAAAUGAUUUAAGAAAUAAUUCUACACCUCUGGAAAAAAUAUACAAUAAAUGAAACUUUCCACAACGAA